rnacentral:rRNA from 1 species
UACGUAGGGGGCAAGCGUUGUCCGGAAUUAUUGGGCGUAAAGAGCUCGUAGGCGGUCUGUUGCGUCCGCUGUGAAAACUCGGGGCUUAACCCCGAGCCUGCAGUGGAUACGGGCAGACUAGAGGUAGGUAGGGGAGAAUGGAAUUCCCGGUGUAGCGGUGAAAUGCGCAGAUAUCGGGAGGAACACCGGUGGCGAAGGCGGUUCUCUGGGCCUGUACUGACGCUGAGGAGCGAAAGCGUGGGGAGCGAACAGG